UAGGGAAUAUUGCGCAAUGGGCGAAAGCCUGACGCAGCGACGCCGCGUGGGGGACGAAGGUCCUCGGAUUGUAAACCCCUUUUCUGAGGGACGAACACUGACGGUACCUCAGGAAUAAGCACCGGCUAACUCCGUGCCAGCAGCUGCGGUAAUACGGAGGGUGCAAACGUUGUUCGGAUUCACUGGGCGUAAAGGGUCCGUAGGCGGCUCGGCAAAUCGAUUGUGCAAUCCCGGCGCCUACCGUCGGAACUGCAGUCGAAAAUACCGGGCUAGAGUUCGUCAGGGGCUAGUGGAACUCCUGGUGGAGCGGUGAAAUGCGUAGAUAUCAGGAGGAACGCCGGAGGCGAAAGCGACUAGCUGGGACGAUACUGACGCUGAGGGACGAAAGCUAGGGGAGCAAACAGGAUUAGAUACCCCCGUAGUCC
rnacentral:rRNA from 1 species